rnacentral:tRNA from 1 species
CCAGGCCUGGCUCAGUUGGUAGAGCGUCCGUUUUGGGGGCGGAAGGUCCGCGGUUCGAGUCCGCGGGUCUGGA